rnacentral:rRNA from 1 species
UUACCCACUCCCGGCACGGGGAGGUAGUGACGAAAAAUAACGAUACGGGACUCAUCCGAGGCCCCGUAAUCGGAAUGAGUACACUUUAAAUCCUUUAACCAGGAUCAAUUGGAGGGCAAGUCUGGUGCCAGCAGCCGCGGUAACACCAGCUCCAAUAGCGUAUAUUAAAGUUGUUGCGGUUAAAAAGCUCGUAGUUGAAUCUGUGUCCCACACUGUCGGUUCACCGCUCGCGGUGUUCAACUGGCAUGUCUGUGGGACGUCCUACCGGUGGGCGCAGCCCGUCAAAAGGCGGCCCAACUCAAAAUCCUACCACGGUGCUCUUCACCGAGUGUCGAGGUGGGCCGGUACGUUUACUUUGAACAAAUUAGAGUGCUUAAAGCAGGCUCAUUCGCCUGAAUAUUCUGUGCAUGGAAUAAUGGAAUAGGACCUCGGUUCUAUUUUGUUGGUUUUCGGAACUCCGAGGUAAUGAUUAAUAGGGACAACUGGGGGCAUUCGUAUUGCGACGUUAGAGGUGAAAUUCUUGGAUCGUCGCAAGACGGACAGAAGCGAAAGAAAUGUGUUUUCAUCAAUCAAGAACGAAAGUUAGAUUCUCGAAGGCGAUCAGAUACCGCCCUAGUUCUAACCAUAAACUAUGCCAGCUAGCGAUCCGCCGAAGUUCCUCCGAUGACUCGGCGGGCAGCUUCCGGGAAACCAAAGCUUUUGGGUUCCGGGGGAAGUAUGGUUGCAAAGCUGAAACUUAAAGGAAUUGACGGAAGGGCACCACCAGGAGUGGAGCCUGCGGCUUAAUUUGACUCAACACGGGAAACCUCACCAGGCCCGGACACCGGAAGGAUUGACAGAUUGAGAGCUCUUUCUUGAUUCGGUGGGUGGUGGUGCAUGGCCGUUCUUAGUCGGUGGAGCGAUUUGUCUGGUUAAUUCCGAUAACGGACGAGACUCUAGCCUGCUAAAUAGGCGUACUUUCCGGUAUCUCGAAGGCCCGCCGGUCGGCUUCGGUCCGUGUGUGGUUUUUACUACCGGCGUACACAUAUAUCUUCUUAGAGGGACAGGUGGCAUUUAGUCGCACGAGAUUGAGCAAUAACAGGUCUGUGAUGCCCUUAGAUGUUCUGGGCCGCACGCGCGCUACACUGAAGGGAUCAGCAGGUUUUCCUUGGCCGAAAGGUCCGGGUAAUCCGUUGAAGCCCCUUCGUGCUAGGGAUUGGGGCUUGCAAUUCUUCCCCAUGAACGAGGAAUUCCCAGUAAGCGCGAGUCAUAAGCUUGCGUUGAUUACGUCCCUGCCCUUUGUACACACCGCCCGUCGCUACUACUGAUUGAAUGAUUUAGUGAGGCCUUCGGACCGGUGCGCGGCAUUGCCGAUGUUGCUGGGAAGAUGUCCAAACUUGAUUAUUAGAA